rnacentral:rRNA from 1 species
GUAGGUGGCAAGCGUUGUCCGGAAUUAUUGGGCGUAAAGCGCGCGCAGGCGGUUCUUUAAGUCUGAUGUGAAAGCCCACGGGCUCAACCGUGGAGGGUCAUUGGAACCUGGAGAACUUGAGUACAGAAGAGGAAAGCGGAAUUCCACGUGUAGCGGUGAAAUGCGUAGAGAUGUGGAGGAACACCAGUGGCGAAGGCGGCUUUCUGGUCCGUAACUGACGCUGAGGCGCGAAAGCGUGGGGAGCAAACAGGAUUAGAUACCCUGGUAGUCCGCGCCGUAAACGAUGAGUGCUAAGUGUUAGGGGGUUUCCGCCCCUUAGUGCUGCAGCUAACGCAUUAAGCACUCCGCCUGGGGAGUACGGCCGCAAAGGCUG